rnacentral:rRNA from 1 species
UACGGGGGGGGCAAGCGUUGUUCGGAAUUACUGGGCGUAAAGGGCUCGUAGGCGGCCAACUAAGUCGGACGUGAAAUCCCCAGGCUCAACCUGGGAACUGCGUCCGAUACUGGAUGGCUUGAAUUCGGGAGAGGGAUGCAGAAUUCCAGGUGUAGCGGUGAAAUGCGUAGAGAUUAGGAAGAACACCAGUGGCGAAGGCGACUUACUGGACUGUAACUGACGCUGAGGCAUGAAAGCGUGGGGAGCAAACAGG